CUUUUCUAUCGCUUGCUUUUACCUUGAUUUUGGCAUUCUGUGAGACCCAUUAUUUCUUUGACAUUUUUGUUUUUGAUUGUUCUUGAAUUUUGAUUUUAUUGAAAAAUUGAAUGCGAUGAUAACAUAAAUAUCUGAAUGAAAUAGCAAUUACUAAAAGCAAUUUUCAAUUCUUUGUUUGGUUGUUGAAUUUCGCGCAGACACAUUGAUGUGAACUGAGUUUUUGAGUUGUUUUCUUAAUUUAUUUUGUUUUAAGGUUAUUAGAUAUGUGAUUGCUAAAAAUAUUGGGACUGAGUACCCAAAAAAUGGUGGAAGAUUUGUUUAGAAAUGAGAUACACGCGCAAAUUAGAGAACUGUUGAAUUUUUUUUUCUUUUCUUAAAUUUAUUUGAAAUUUGGAGAGGAGGGUUAGAUGCUUCUCGAUUAUUUCAUGAAAUUACUUGGUUAAAUUGGUUGGAGCUGUAUGGAUCAUAGGCAUGCUCUUGUAUGGAACCACUUUGGAAACAGGAUUCUUAUCUCAUUUUUUCAACCUUUGAUGUUGUCACUUAAUAAUAAUGGUCCUAUAUUGUGUCUAUUGUUAACUUGUACAAAAGUGGACAAUUGCAAAACCCCCUCUUUACUUCUUUUUCCUAUAGGAGAGUUGCUGACUUUAGAAUAUAUCUUUCCCUCUCUUGAUUCUUGCUUCAACAACACAGGAAUAUAAAAAUAAGGAAAUAACAAAGUUGCUUACUAGAAUUUGAAAAUGGAUUAGAUAUGCACAAAUAGAAAUUUUACUGAAUUUAGGCGUGUCCAAAUCAUCAGGGUAGGUUCCAACCUAGUAAGCAAAAAUACCAGAAUUCAUUUGAGAAACUGAACUGAACCAGAGUAAAGAACUAACCGAUUGACAAAACGAUAAGCAACAACCAAAUCCAUAAGGUGAAAACUGAGUGUUUAUAAAGAAGGAAAAAAGGGCACAGUAUUGUAUUAUAUAUCCAUACUCUCCUUCCUCUCCCUGCCCCCAUUGUAUACAGAUAUUCGAGCUAGGCUUUUCUGUUAGCAUCUCCAGGUGGCAUUCCCUCCUUGACUCCCUCUACCACAACAAGUUCUUGCCAUCCAUCUCCAGUUGCUUGCCCUAGAAUACUUCCAUCCAAAUUUCUCUGCACUUGUUUUCUUCUUUCUUCACUAUACUUGUAAAGAGUCUUGUGAAUGGUCUUGGACCUAAAUUACUUUUAGCAAUCCCUUAGAGGUCCUCAAGUUGAAUACAUUUGUAACAAGCUUGGAGCAUAUGACUUAUGCUCUCCAACUUAAGGGGGAGUGGUGAGAUAUUUGACCCUUUAUUAGCUCCUAUAAAUGUUUAAUAUAAUUAGGUGCUGUAAAUUAUCUUAGGAUUUGUGAUUUCCUUUACUUCUUUCUUUUUUGUAAUUCAUGUAUCUUUAAUUUCCUACCAAAGGUUGGUGUUACACAAAAAAUCCUGUCUUAGGAGGCUUGAGUUUGUAUCACACAUCACUUACCUCAUUAUCCCUUCUAUGGGGAUUUGACUUUGGUAUUUGAACUUCUUGUAUAUGUUAUCUAACCCUUGUAUCUUCUUAAAUUUAGAGGUUUUGAACUUCUUAGUUCUUAGAAGUAGCAUCUAACCCUUCUUAGAGCUAUUAAGCCCAGCAUCCUACUCUUCCUGUUGCGUUACACCGAGAAUGUUUUAAGUUAAUAUUUCCAUUUACCUCUCUCUAAUGGAUAAGGUAGGAAGAAGUUAACUAUUCAUAAUGUGGAGAGAGCAUCAAGAUGAUUUUUGAAUUCCUUAGCCUUAAAGUAAGUCCAAAUGAAUAAAGGUAAUGAGAUUGCCAAAUGGGACUAUUCCCACCAUGUGACAAAGCUGUUCAAGGGUAAUGUAUAUAUGAAUUUUUGCUUGGUUCAAGACUUUCAGCGUGCAAACAACAAACUUCAACUUUUCAACCUCUUCUGCAAGGGCCCUAUUUAAAGCAUUGGGUUGUUUGGAUCAUGAGCCAAUGGAGGAAGUCCAUUGACACUUCCAGGUGGAGGUGGAUCUUUUAGGAUUCAGCAAAAUAGGCUAUCUCAAUACUUAAUCUUUCUUGUUUAUAACGAUCCUUUAAUUCUCUUGAGAUAAAGGUUAAAUCUAACUCAUUGCACUAGUUACUACUGUAGCUAGUGUUGUACUAACUUAGUGUAACUGGUGUUAGUGGACUAACAAAGCGAGAUGGAAAAGGGCUUUAUCCAUCUUUUCUGGGGGGAAAAGUAAGUGUUUGAUCAAAUCAAUCAAAAGAGAUAGCUUUGGUCACACAUAGGCAAGGAUGGAGUUGUUGAGUGACCACCGGCUAAGAGUAGUUCCAUCAUGUAGUUGAGUAUAAAUAGACCACUAAAAGACAAGCAACAGCAGCGAAUGAGGAGUAGUAAGGGUUCGAGGAAGCACGCAUGGUAUGUAAACGAGUACAAAUCACAUGGUUUUGUACAAAUUUUCUUUUGAGCAAUUGAGUGACGAUUGCUUCAUCUAUUAAGAAAGCGCACAGAGGGCUUUGUUUAUAAAGGGGAUACUCUUCUUUGAUGUGCACUAUAUUAUAUUAUUGAAGGAGCAAAAGAACUCUUGUUUUUUCACUUAGAGGUUCCAAUGUCUAUCAAUAGAAAAUUCUUUCUUUAUUUGGCAACCAAAGGUAGAUGAAUCUAGCAGUUACUACUGAAAGACUUGUUCAAAUUAAUUAUGUAAUUCAAAAUAUUGAAAAUGCUAAACAUGGAUAACUACAAACACUUGUUGGCUUUUUAAAACAAGUGCAUGUUGUCGAUCAAGAAUAGGUGGAAUAAUAGAUACAAUAGCUCUUGAAUGACAUUUAAAUUCUGGAAGAAUGAAGGAGAACCCUCAUCCGAGAACGGGAAUCUUUGAUUGUCAAAUAAGCAAAGAAGUCUUUCAGUAGUAGCUCUUGAAUCAAUCUCUCUUUGUUUUGCCAAAUAAGCAAAGAAGCUGCUAUUUUUAAACGUGGGAAUCUCUAAGCAAAAAAAUAGAGUUUUUUGUUUUUCAUGAAUAUCAUCACGUGGCUUAAUCCCAAUCACCGUUUUAAUGAAUAUAGGAUACCAUAAUAUAGCGCACAUCAGAGAAGAGAGUAUGCUUUUAUAAACAAGGCCCUUUAUGUUCUAUCUUUUCUAUCUUAAUAGAUGGAGCAAUCAUCACUUGAAAGCGGAUAAAUACUUCUGUACCAAGUGUGCUUCAUCGUGCUCUUAUUGCUCGUUCACAGGCAUGCAUUUGUGUUUUAUUGGCUUAUUUGUAACCAACUAUAUGAUGAAACUCCUCUCUUCCAGUGCAGCUCUUAGAUGGAAGGAAAAUGAUGGUUUAGAGUGGUAAUAGCAAGAGUCUAUUUUGCCAUGGUUGGGAUUUUUUCCCCCUCCAAACAAUUAGGUUGGCUUGGGAAAGUGGCAAGUGUUUCUUUAGUUAUGGUUUGGUGGGUUGAUGUUGUAGAGGGUAAAAAAUAUGUUGUUGAAUUUAAUAAUUUACAAGGUGUUAUUUAUUUUGAUUGGCUAAAAAGUAAUAUAUAAAUUUGUUAUUGUUUAAAUUUCUUUCAUUAAUUGUUUAGAAUAAUUUUCUAUUUAAAUUAAAAUUCUAUUCUAUUAAAGAAUAUCUCUCUAUUUUUUUAAUUAAAAUUCUAUUCUAUUAAAGAAUAUAUCUCUCUAUUUAAAAAAAAAAAAUUAUUAUAGACGUUAAUUUAUGUUUCCUUAGAAAAUCAUAAAUUUAUAUUUUCAUAAAAAACCAAUUUCAAUUUAAUUAAAACUUGAAGUCAACGUUUGAUCUAUAGCCAAAAAAAAAUUUUUUUUUCUAAUGAUUUCUUUUAGAAAAUUAGAAUUCCAAUCAGCCUUAGAUGUUAUGAUCUUACUUUUAUGACUCUUUAUAUGAUUUUUAGUUAUCAUAAUAAAAUUUAUCUUCCAAUAUUAAAUAUAAUGAACGUAAUAAUGAUAAAACUUUCUUUUAUGCAGAUUUUUUAGUCUUGUAAUAUAAUGUAUGUUUUUAUUAUUAAUUAUGAUAAAAUAUUCUCAUGAAUUAUUUGAUUAUUUAAUAAAUGAAUGUGUUUUUACAUUAUAAUGUAUGAUGAUUAGGGUUAAGUAAUUGUGAAAAGCAUUAUAAGAAUUUAAGAACAUUCAAACAAAAAUAGGAUUUAUGGUUGGGUUAAUGAAAUAAAUAAUACAAUAAUAUAAGAAUUUAGCCUAUCAUAUCAUGUGUAAACUAAGCUAACAAAAUAAUUUUAUAGUAAUACUAUAUUUAUUUAUUUAUCUGUCUGUCUAUCUAUUUAUAAUUUUAUCAAAACAUGAUGAAUUGUAUUUUAAUAUACAGUAUAUUAUUUUUUAGAAUUGUAUUACUUUAGUAUGAAAUUUUAUGUUAAAAAAGAAAUCUAUGAUCUAUAUAAAUAUAAAUAUAUAAUUUAUAAAAAAAGAGAAGGAGAGAGAAUAAUAGUAUGGACAAAAAUAUCCAUGAUAAUUUGGUGGUAUAACAACAAAUUAUUAAAUUUAAUUAACUAUUGAAAAUUAUUUUUUAAGCAAAGUGAAAAUAUUGUAAAAUAAAAAAAAAGGACUAAAACCUAAACUGAUAUUUGCAUGGCUAUGUUAUUUACAAAUUCAACAGAAUAUGUGCAAGCAAAAUGAAAGUAUUUUAAAACAAUAUAACAUAAAGAAACUUUAAAUUAAUAUGCAUUUGUAAUACCAUUUAUAAAAACAGCAUGAUAUCUGUAUUGCUAAGAAUAGUAAAAAACGAUAACUUGACCCUAAAAAUAGUAGAACCAAAGAAAUCUUAAACUAUAAAAACAGUAUAACCAAAGAGGAUGGUUAAAAAAAUACAGUUUGAUUUUGUUUAGGAUUAACAAACCAAAUGUGUAAAAAGAAUAAAAAACAUAAAACAAACAUAAAUAAAAAGUAAAAAUAAUCGUGGUAAUUUGAUAUUAUAAUAAUGUGAAGCUAAAUUUAAUUAGCUAUUUAAAAUCAUUUGUAUUAGAAUAAUAUUGUAUCAUGUCUUAGAAAAAUUAACUGAAAAAUAAUAUUAUAUCAUGUCUUAGAAAAAUUAACAGAAAAUUAUAUAUGAAAUUAAAUAACGAGUAUGUACAGUGGGUAUAAAUAACAAGACAAGCAUGUUAUAAAUACUAGUAAUGAUAGAUUUCUAAAUAUUAUAAGCUUUCUUAUGGAAACCUGAAAUUCCUAAAUGUUUGAUUUGCUUGACUGCAUCAAUAUGCAAUACGUCGAGAAAUUAGAUAAAAAUGUAGAUGCUGUGGCAGAGUUUGUUGCAAGCAUGUCAGGUUUGUAGUGGAUUCAUUUCCUUUAAUGCUCCUAUUUAUCAGCUAAGACUUGUAAUAAGAUAUUCUCUCUGUCUCUAGAGCAUUCAAGUUUUUUUGGUAUGGUAGGGCUUAGAGCUUAUAGUAAGGAAACCAAUAACAAUAUGCGUUUUAUUAGUUAUUGUAUGGGAGAAGAUUGCUUUGAUGAGAUUUGCAGGCACAAUUAUUGUGUACUCGGGUCAUAAUCUUUGAGGCAAACUUUGUAUAGAGGAGAACAAAUGGUUGAUCAAUGGAUCUCAUGAAGUUUUGAAUCAAGGUUGAAAAUCAUGCGAGUGGUCAUGGAAAGAUUCAAAAAGUAUGGCAUAGAGAGAACAAAAUAUCAGAAGGAUCAAAUUGAUCCAUAUAUUGAUGUUGUCGAAUGAAUGGGCAUAUGAGUGGAUGUGGGAUAAAAGCGGAAAUGAACACUUCUACGUGUUCACAAUAAAUCAUACUAACUACUGGGAUAGAAUUUGUUCUUCUGAUUCUCUGAAUAAUCUUGGUGAUGUGAAUGAAAGGAUAGAUAUCAUAGUGA